rnacentral:rRNA from 1 species
GGGGAAUAUUGCACAAUGGGCGAAAGCCUGAUGCAGCGACGCCGCGUGAGCGAAGAAGUAUUUCGGUAUGUAAAGCUCUAUCAGCAGGGAAGAUAAUGACGGUACCUGACUAAGAAGCACCGGCUAAAUACGUGCCAGCAGCCGCGGUAAUACGUAUGGUGCAAGCGUUAUCCGGAUUUACUGGGUGUAAAGGGUGCGUAGGCGGCUUUGCAAGUCAGAUGUGAAAUCUAUGGGCUCAACCCAUAAACUGCAUUUGAAACUGUAGAGCUUGAGUGAAGUAGAGGCAGGCGGAAUUCCCCGUGUAGCGGUGAAAUGCGUAGAGAUGGGGAGGAACACCAGUGGCGAAGGCGGCCUGCUGGGCUUUAACUGACGCUGAGGCACGAAAGCGUGGGUAGCAAACAGGAUUAGAUACCCUGGUAGUCCACGCUGUAAACGAUGAUUACUAGGUGUGGGGGGUCUGACCCCUUCCGUGCCGGAGUUAACACAAUAAGUAAUCCACCUGGGGAGUACGGCCGCAAGGUUGAAACUCAAAGGAAUUGACGGGGGCCCGCACAAGCAGUGGAGUAUGUGGUUUAAUUCGAAGCAACGCGAAGAACCUUACCAGGUCUUGACAUCCAACUAACGAAGUAGAGAUACAUUAGGUGCCCUUCGGGGAAAGUUGAGACAGGUGGUGCAUGGUUGUCGUCAGCUCGUGUCGUGAGAUGUUGGGUUAAGUCCCGCAACGAGCGCAACCCUUGCUAUUAGUUGCUACGCAAGAGCACUCUAAUAGGACUGCCGUUGACAAAACGGAGGAAGGUGGGGACGACGUCAAAUCAUCAUGCCCCUUAUGACCUGGGCUACACACGUACUACAAUGGAUGUUAACAGAGGGAAGCAAGACAGCGAUGUGGAGCAAACCCCUAAAAACAUUCUCAGUUCAGAUUGCAGGCUGCAACCCGCCUGCAUGAAGAUGGAAUUGCUAGUAAUCGCGGAUCAGCAUGCCGCGGUGAAUACGUUCCCG